rnacentral:misc_RNA from 1 species
GAUGAAGAACGCAGCGAAAUGCGAUAAGUAGUGUGAAUUGCAGAAUUCAGUGAAUCAUCGAAUCUUUGAACGCACAUUGCGCCCCUUGGUAUCCCGAGGGGCAUGCCUGUUCGAGCGUCAUUUCACCACUCAAGCCUGGCUUGGUGUUGGGCGACGUCCCCUUUAGGGACGCGCCUCGAAACGCUCGGCGGCGCGGCACCGGCUUUAAGCGUAGCAGAAUCUUUCGCUUUGGAAGUCGGGGCCCCGCCUGCCGGAAUACCUACUUGUAAGGUUGAUCUCGGAUCAGGCAGGGAUACCCGCUGAACUUAAGCAUAUCAAUAAGCGGAGGA